GUGAUUGAGUUGGAGUUUUAAACCAAGAGCCAAGAUCAAACCCAUUCUCUUCACUUUCCCCUCAAAACUGUCCAGUCAAGAGACCAAACCCCAGAAGAAAAAAAAACCCCUUUUCUCUUCAAAAAGUGACUCUCUCUCUCUCUCUCUCUCUCUCGCCCCUGCUUCUCUUCUCCGCGGUCCACCGAAAACCAAAAAUCGCUCACUCUCUCUCUCUCUCUCUCUCUAUGCCAAUAAUCAAAGGGGUGCAGAUGAAGUCUCUUGAUGCUUGGGAUGGGAGCAAUAUGCGCCCUUACUUUUGAACUCUGCAGAUGCAUAGUGGGUUUCAUGAAAUCAGUGCUCAGAAUAUUAUAGGCUAACCAAAAGGUUUGUUCGACCAUCGCUAACUAAUCUCCCGUCGAAGUUUGGGGGUUUCUUUUCUAUUGAAGGAGAUAUCCCAGGAGAACAAUUCGCUUCACUCUUUCGAUUGGACAUCUUCGAGAUAAAAAUGUCGGUGUUGUGAUCUAGGAGGAACGAGACCUUGAAAUGGCGCAGGCAAAGUCCAAGGAAAAAGAGAAAUUAAUCUAUGCAAGGAAAAAUAAAAUGCAUUUCCAAUGGGAACUAAUGAUAGCACAAUAUCAAAAGCUUCCUUGGCCCAACAUAAAAGGCAAGAACGAGAAAGAAGUGAAAAAAAUCAACCUUCUUAUCAAUCAGUCCAAUGCUUGCGAUGAGAGAGGGAUAGAGCGCUAUCGUGCAUCCAACCGAUAAAAGCCACGUACUUCCCUUCUCUAACACCUACCCGUCGAGACACCAUAGAGCAUGGAGCAGUUACAGUCUAGCAAACCUAUAAGCGACAGAUGGUUAGUCGUACUUCAUGUUCGAUCUUUGCGUAGAGCACAUCCUGGGCUACACAAAAUGAAAGUAGGAUAAAUAUUUGUAGAUCUAUCCCUUCGAAUCAACUCCAUGAAGAACAAGAGACGGCUAUGGAAUUAGAGGGCUUCCGAUCUGUAAGUUAUUGACUAUUCUCUGGAAUGAAGGCAACAACUCUUUUGUAGUACGUGAUUCCUGCUUUUGGGUUUGGUUUCUAUUAGGAUGAUAAUUCAGGUGGUCCAUUACGUAUAGGUUUUUGGUAAAUAUGAUGUAGACUCGCGGGCAUGUGUCUUGACUCCUAUUGUACUUAUGUAAAGAAACAACCUACCAAGAUUGUUUUUUUAUGGAACUUUUGCUAAUUGUAAUGCAUUUGUUCUAAGAAAUGCCUUAAUGGAAUUGGACUGUGUUGGUUUUUUUGUGUA